rnacentral:rRNA from 1 species
UACAAGGGGUGCAAACGUUGCUCGGAAUUAUUGGGCGUAAAGCGCGCGCAGGCGGUCGUUCAAGUCGAGUGUGAAAGCCCCCGGCUCAACUGGGGAGGGUCAUUCGAUACUGAUCGACUCGAAGGCAGGAGAGGGAAGCGGAAUUCCCGGUGUAGUGGUGAAAUGCGUAGAUAUCGGGAGGAACACCAGUGGCGAAGGCGGCUUCCUGGCCUGUUCUUGACGCCGAGGCGCGAAAGCUAGGGGAGCAAACGGG